rnacentral:tRNA from 4 species
GGGCGCGUAGCUCAGUUGGGAGAGCAUCUGGUUUGCAACCAGGGGGUCGGGGGUUCGAAUCCCCCCGCGUCCACCA